AGAGUUUGAUCAUGGCUCAGAACGUACGCUGGCGGCACGCCUAAUACAUGCAAGUCGAACGAAGUAGCAAUACUUAGUGGCAGACGGGUGAGUAACAUGUAGGUAUCUUCCCUUUGGUGAGGAAUAACACGAGGAAACUUGUGCUAAUACCUCAUAAGUCUUUACAGAGAAAGCUUUAUGCGCCGAAGGAUGAGCCUGCACUUGAUUAGUUUGUUGGUGGGGUAAUGGCCUACCAAGACUUUGAUCAAUAGCUGAUCUGAGAGGAUGAUCAGCCACAUUGGGACUGAGACACGGCCCAAACUCCUACGGGAGGCAGCAGUAGGGAAUAUUGCACAAUGGAGGAAACUCUGAUGCAGCGAUGCCGCGUGAGUGAAGAAGGCCUUUGGGUUGUAAAGCUCUUUCGUCGGGGAAGAAAAUGACUGUACCCGAAUAAGAAGGUCCGGCUAACUUCGUGCCAGCAGCCGCGGUAAUACGAAGGGACCUAGCGUAGUUCGGAAUUACUGGGCUUAAAGAGUUCGUAGGUGGUUAAAAAAGUUGGUGGUGAAAUCCCAGAGCUUAACUCUGGAACUGCCAUCAAAACUUUUUAGCUAGAGUAUGAUAGAGGAAAGCAGAAUUUCUAGUGUAGAGGUGAAAUUCGUAGAUAUUAGAAAGAAUACCAAUUGCGAAGGCAGCUUUCUGGAUCAUUACUGACACUGAGGAACGAAAGCAUGGGUAGCGAAGAGGAUUAGAUACCCUCGUAGUCCAUGCCGUAAACGAUGUGUGUUAGACGUUGGAAAUUUAUUUUCAGUGUCGCAGCGAAAGCAUUAAACACACCGCCUGGGGAGUACGACCGCAAGGUUAAAACUCAAAUGAAUUGACGGGGACCCGCACAAGUAGUGGAGCAUGUGGUUUAAUUCGAAGAUACGCGCAGAACCUUACCAACACUUGACAUGUUCGUCGCGACUUUAAGAGAUUAAAGUUUUCGGUUCGGCCGGACGAAACACAGGUGCUGCAUGGCUGUCGUCAGCUCGUGUCGUGAGAUGUUGGGUUAAGUCCCGCAACGAGCGCAACCCUCACUUUUAGUUGCCAUCAUUUAGUUGGGCACUCUGAAAGAACUGCCAGUGAUAAGCUGGAGGAAGGUGGG
rnacentral:rRNA from 1 species